UACGGAGGGGGCGAGCGUUAUUCGGAAUUAUUGGGCGUAAAGAGCGCGCAGGCGGUCGUUCAAGUCGCGUGUGAAAGCCCCCGGCUCAACUGGGGAGGGUCACGCGAUACUGAUCGACUCGAAGGCAGGAGAGGGUAGUGGAAUUCCCGGUGUAGUGGUGAAAUGCGUAGAUAUCGGGAGGAACACCAGUGGCGAAGGCGACUACCUGGCCUGUUUCUUGACGCUGAGGCGCGAAAGCUAGGGGAGCAAACGGG
rnacentral:rRNA from 1 species